UGUGCCUUGGCAUCUUUCUCUGGGUGUGGUUUGCUAAUGUAUUGAGCCUUUCUAUAGCUUAACUUAAAGCUUUGCUUAGAAAGCCCCCAACACUCAAGCCCUCACUCUGAAUACCUGAGCAGUGGCAUCUUGGAGCCAUGCUCAAAAGCUGGCCAGCCCUUUGCAGCUCUUCUGCCUCAGCUCCUUUGCAGUGCAGAUGCAAUAACUCUGCCUCGGUGUGGAGAAGGUUGAGCAGGGAGGUGUCUAUGGAGCAUUCAGACUUGUGGUGUUCCUCCUUUCCCAAGAGCAUCUGUGAGCAAGCAAGCAUGUGCUGAGCACACUCAGAAUAAUGUGCACKCACAGAGGGCCCUGAGGCUGCGUGCAUGGACUGAGGAGGAUAUGGGAAAUAGUGAACCACCGUCCACUUGCUGAAUGAGGUGGAGUUUGCCGCACUGCAUCACAGCAGCUCCAUGACAAGUGCUCCCUUUCCAGCUGCUGCUGCAUCCCAUCAAGACUGAUGGUGAAUCUUGUUCUUCUCUCACUGUGGAGGAGAGACUUCAGUGUGAGGACAGCCCUUGCUGGAUAUCAGGAGUUAUGCUGGAGAGCUCUGUUAUCAAAGUCGCACUUGCAGGUGGAGUGUCAAGACAGGGUCACAGCUCUUGGCACAGCAGCCCAUCRAGGAGAUGCACAAAGCCACAGGAAAUAAGACUUCACAGGUUUGCUGUUCACAGACCUACUGUCAUUCUGCUGUCCAGCAGGUGCCUCUGAGGGACCCUGUGAGUUUUACUCAGCUGAGCCAAUUCCUAUGARCAUGCCAGAGUGGUGGAGAAGGCACUCUUCUGUUACUGGAUAACUCCUUCUCCCAGUAAGGACAAUGGGUCAAAAUGGGGGAGUGAUAUGAUGUUAUUUCUUGGCCUCUGGUCCAGUUAACUGGUGCCUUGGCAUAAAGAAAACUGUUUCAUUUUUCUCUCUAAAGGUUUCUCUCCCUGCUCCUCUUUCAAGUUCUAGAGAACUUGAGGGUGAAACAGACUUCUGGAA